CCUGGAGGAAAGGAAAUCAACCGAGACUCCGUCAGUAGCGGCGAGCGAAAGCGGAUUUAGCCCAAACCAGACUUCGGUCUGGGGUUGCGGGCGCUGACAAGGAGUUACAAAGGCAGCACCAGUUGAAGGGUCUGAAAAGUCCCACCACAGAAGGUGAUAGUCCUGUAGGCAAAUGUGCCUGCCCUCCGUUACGGUCAGCGUACCAGAGUAGCAUGGAGCUCGUGGAACUCUGUGUGAAGCUGGGGGGCCCACCCUCCAAGGCUAAGUACUCCUCGACAACCGAUAGUGGAAAGUAGCGCGAGCGAACGAUGAAAAGAACCCUUACUAAGGGAGUUAAAAGGACCUGAAACCAUACACUUACACAGCUGUGGGAGCCCUAUGCCCUCCGGGGAAUGGGUGACCGCGUGCCUUUCGCAUAAUGAGCCGGCGAGUUGCCAUUUGCGGCAAGGUUAAGCACUUCAGGUGCGUAGCCGAAGCGAAAGCGAGUCUGAACAGGGCGCAUGAGUCGCAGGUGGUAGACGCGAAACCACGUGAUCAACCCAUGGCCAGGUGGAAGGGGAUGUAAAAAUCCCUGGACGACCGAACCCGUUAACGUUGAAAAGUUAUGGGAUGAGCUGUGGAGAGGAGUAAAAGUCUAAUCAAACUUGGAGAUAGCUCGUUCUCUCCGAAAUAGCUUUAGGGCUAGCCUCGCGUGUUCCCUGUUGGGGGUAGAGCUACUGAUUGAGGAUAAGGGGCUACCCGCCUACUUACCUCUACCAAACUCCGAAUACCAACAGGCCAAACGUGGGAGUCAGUCUGCGGGGGAUAACCUUCGUGGUCGAGAGGGAAAGAACCCAGACCGCCAGCUAAGGUCCCGAAUUUCGUGCUUAGUUACUAAGGAAGUCUGAUUGCUGUGACAAUCAGGAUGUUGGCUUAGAAGCAGCCACCAUUUAAAAAGUGCGUAAUAGCUUACUGAUCGAGCAGUUGGGUGCCGAUAAUGAACGGGAAUAAGCAUAGAACCGAAGCUGCGGAUGCCUUCUUCGGAAGGCGUGGUAGGAGAGCGUAGCAGCCAGCGCCGAAGCGGUACGGUAACGAGCCGUGGAGCGGCUGCUAGUGAUUAUGCCGGCAUGAGUAACGAUAAAACAGGUGAGAAUCCUGUUCGCCGAAAGCCUAAGGUUUCCUGGGGAAGGUAAAUCCGCCCAGGGUUAGUCGGGUCCUUAGUCGAGGCCGAAGGGCGUAGACGAUGGGCAGCAGGUUAAUAUUCCUGCACCAUGUUGCUGGACAAAGUCAGUGACGCAUCUUCAAGGGUCAUCCCACGGCUAGUAGGGUGGGUCCCGCAAGGGCGAGGCCGAUUUAUGAUGCCGAAGUGGCUGGAGAAGAUGCCGAGAAAUAGCUGGCGUAGGUUGAAAGCAGCAUGUCCGUACCGCAAACUGACACAGGUAGGCGAGGAGAGUAUCCUCAGGCGCUCGAGAGAACCGUCCUUAAGGAACUAGGCAAUUUUCCCCCGUACGUUCGCAAGAAGGGGUCCCUCCGCAUGUGCUUGAUUUAUCAGGUACAUGGCGAGGGCGCAGAGAAAUGGCUCUGGCGACUGUUUAUCAAAAACACAGUUCUGUGCUAACUCCGAAAGAGGAUGUAUACAGAAUGACGCCUGCUCGGUGCCGGAAGGUUAAGGGGAGGGGUUAGCCGCAAGGCGAAGCUCUAAACUGAAGCCCCGGUAAACGGCGGCCGUAACUAUGACGGUCCUAAGGUAGCGAAGUUCCUUGUCGGGUAAGUUCCGACGUGCAUGAACGGCGUAACGACUGGAGCAGUGUCUCAAAGACCGACUCGGUGAAAUUGUAGUUGUAGUGAAGAUACUACGUACCCGCGGCAAGACGGCAAGACCCCGUGAACCUUUACUGUAGCCUGGUAUUGACGCCUGGCAUAUCAUGCGUAGGAUAGGUGGGAGGCUGUGAAGCGGUGCUUCCGGGCAUCGCAGAGCCAACCUUGAAAUACCACCCUUGGUAUGUUAGUCGCCUAACCGUGACCCGUGAAUCCGGGCAUGGGACCGUGCUAGGUGGGCAGUUUGACUGGGGCGGUCUCCUCCUAAAGCGUAACGGAGGAGUUCAAAGGUACCCUCAGCGUGGUUGGCAAUCACGCAAAGAGCGUAAAGGUAAAAGGGUGCUUGACUGUGAGACUGAUAGGUCGAGCAGAUGCGAAAGCAGGACUUAGUGAUCCGGUGGUUCCGUGUGGAAGGGCCAUCGCUCAACGGAUAAAAGGUACUCCGGGGAUAACAGGCUGA
rnacentral:rRNA from 1 species